AUACUCUAUAAUCCUCUGAUGUGACUGUCAGGCACGUAUCGCGGUGGAGCCUCUGUGUCUGCAGUGCAGGGGCCCCAUAUCCUCUUCAGAAUAUAUACUGUCACUACGAUAUCGAGUCUAGAGAUAGAGCAAGGUAGGAUCAAUCGACCCAAAUGUAUGUCGAAGUCUGAACCAAUCAUGUUUGAGGUACAAAAUAUCAAGACAAGUAUAUGAAAAAGAUAGUA
rnacentral:lncRNA from 1 species